rnacentral:misc_RNA from 1 species
AUUCACUUUGAAAUUAAACAUUGAUCAUUACCUACUCUGCACUCCCGAGUCUCAACGAUAGGCAUUAAACAUGCCAGAAAGCAAUACUAUGGACAUUCCUUCUUCCGAUUAUCAACCUCUCAUUGUUUCUAAUCCUGAUGGAACCUAUACGCGUCUCGUGCAACUGCCAACGGUCCCUGCCUCACCUGAUCCCAACAAAUCCACCUACCCGGUCGUCACCAAGGACAUACCUGUUAAUCCCACUAACCGAACUUGGUUCCGGAUUUAUCUUCCCCGCCGUGCGCUUGAUUCUUCCUCCACCACCAACAAGCUCCCUCUCAUAGUUUACUAUCAUGGUGGUGGCUUUAUUUUCUUGAGUGCAGCUUCUAAUAUGGUACAUGAUUUUUGCUUAACAAUGUCUGAACAACUCGAUGCCAUUGUAAUCUCCGUUGAUUACCGCCUAGCUCCAGAAAACCGUCUUCCGGCAGCUUAUGAGGACGCCAUUGAAGCGCUGCACUUUAUCAGUAAUAGCGAAGAAGAUUGGUUGAGGAAAUUUACUGAUUUAUCGAGCUGUUUUUUGAUGGGCACUAGUGCAGGUGGUAAUAUUGCAUACCAGGCAGGGCUACGAGCAUGCGAGCAAGUUCACAAGUUGGAACCCUUGAAGAUCAAGGGCUUGAUACUGCACCAUCCAUAUUUUGGGGGGUUAGAGAGAACCGCGUCGGAGCUGAAAAUGGUGAAGGACCCAAUUUUGCCACUGCCUGGAAAUGACCUCAUGUGGGAAUUGUCAUUGCCAGUCGGAGCAGACCGGGAUCAUAAAUAUUCUAAUCCACUGGCUGGGCGUGGGUCAAACAUGUUUGAACUUGUUCGGGCAAUCGGAUUACGGGUUCUAGUGACGGCUUGUUAUGGGGAUCCGUUGAUUGACCGCCAGGUGGAGUUUGCCAAAAUGUUGGAGGAGAAGGGUGUAGGGACUGUGGCCCACUUUGGUGAAGGUUGCCAUAGCGUGGAGUUAAUUGACCGGUCUAAGGCUGAGUCUCUGGUUCUGGCCAUUAAAGAUUUCAUGUUUUAAUUUUUAGGAAAGAAUAUUAGGUCUCUCAUAUUUACAUGACACUCAAUUUAUUUUUUUAAGAGGAAAAGAGAAUUACUUUUAUAUGUAUCGGUAAUAUUUUAUAAUUUUUUAAUUUUUAAUAGUCUAUUUACUCUAAGAAAUUUAUGUUAAAGAGAAUAUCAUAAAUUUGUACAAAUUAAUACACCAGAAAAAUCCCAAAAAAUAAAUGGAAUCAUCCACCAAUGCAAGUCAUUAUUUGUACUAAUAUCUUUAUAAUAAGAUUGUUGUCG